rfam:Eutrema salsugineum unplaced genomic scaffold scaffold_5, whole genome shotgun sequence.
UGGAGGAAUGAGGAUUAUAUAACCAUACGUCUGCAAAUCUGAAAUUCAGUGUUGAUACUUAGACAUGCACUACCAUCUGACCUCUU